rnacentral:rRNA from 1 species
UGGGUGAUCUGCCCCUGACUUUGGGAUAAGCCUGGGAAACUGGGUCUAAUACCGAAUAUUCAUUUUUCCUCGCAUGGGGAUUGGUGGAAAGCUUUUGCGGUUGGGGAUGGGCCCGCGGCCUAUCAGCUUGUUGGUGGGGUAAUGGCCUACCAAGGCGACGACGGGUAGCCGACCUGAGAGGGUGAUCGGCCACACUGGGACUGAGACACGGCCCAGACUCCUACGGGAGGCAGCAGUGGGGAAUAUUGCACAAUGGGCGCAAGCCUGAUGCAGCGACGCCGCGUGAGGGAUGACGGCCUUCGGGUUGUAAACCUCUUUCAGCUCCGACGAAGCGCAAGUGACGGUAGGAGCAGAAGAAGCACCGGCCAACUACGUGCCAGCAGCCGCGGUAAUACGUAGGGUGCAAGCGUUGUCCGGAAUUACUGGGCGUAAAGAGCUCGUAGGCGGUUUGUCGCGUCGUCUGUGAAAUUCUGCAGCUUAACUGCAGGCGUGCAGGCGAUACGGGCAGACUUGAGUACUACAGGGGAGACUGGAAUUCCUGGUGUAGCGGUGAAAUGCGCAGAUAUCAGGAGGAACACCGGUGGCGAA